rnacentral:misc_RNA from 1 species
AAUUCUCAACCUCAAAAACUUUUGUUGAUGAGGCUUGGAUGUGGAGGCUUUGCAGGCUCUUCUAGAGUCAGCUCCUCUGAAAUGCAUUAGUGGAAACUGUUUGUAGUCCGCAUUGGUGUGAUAAUUAUCAGCGCUAUUGUGGCUACAAGCUUGUGUAGUGUUCGUUUGGAAAGUGCAUGAAUAGUGCUCUCUCUGCUUCAUCUGACCUACGCAAGUAUAGUAUUCGCUUCAAACCGUCCUAAGUCAUUGGACAAUACUUGACUA